CUUCAGUGAUGAUCCGAUGACGAGUCAGAAAGAGACAUUGUCCUGCUCGGAGUAGCCUGCUCAGGGCCACGUUCUGUGGGGCUGUGCUCAGGUGCUCCGGCAGGGGUGUCUUGCUCAUUGGAUGAACUAGAGGCAUUUGUCUGAGAAGG